ACGGCUCAGUAACACGUGGACAAUCUGCCCUUGGGUCUGGGAUAACUCCGGGAAACUGGAGAUAAUACCAGAUAGGUCAUAGAUGCUGGAAUGCUCUAUGGCCCAAAGCUCCGGCGCCCAAGGAUGAGUCUGCGGCCUAUCAGGUUGUAGUGGGCGUAAUGGACCCACUAGCCUACGACGGGUACGGGUUGUGAGAGCAAGAGCCCGGAGAUGGAUUCUGAGACAUGAAUCCAGGCCCUACGGGGCGCAGCAGGCGCGAAACCUUUACAAUGCGCGCAAGCGCGAUAAGGGGACCUCGAGUGUUCCUACCUAGUAGGAACUGUCCAGUUGUCUAAAAAACAACUGUUAGCAAGAGCCGGGCAAGACCGGUGCCAGCCGCCGCGGUAACACCGGCGGCUCGAGUGGUGACCGCUUUUAUUGGGUCUAAAGGGUCUGUAGCCGGUCUAACAAGUUCUUUUGAAAAUCUGGUCGCUUAACGAUCAGGCUGCUAGGGGAUACUGUUAAGCUUGGGACCGGGAGAGGCUAGAGGUACUUUAGGGGUAGGGGUGAAAUCCUGUGAUCCUUAAAGGACCACCAGUGGCGAAGGCGUCUAGCUAGAACGGAUCCGACGGUGAGGGACGAAAGCUGGGGGCACGAACCGGAUUAGAUACCCGGGUAGUCCCAGCCGUAAACGAUGCGAGCUAGGUGUCAGUUUUACUGCGAGUAAAAUUGGUGCCGUAGGGAAGCCGUGAAGCUCGCCACCUGGGAAGUACGGCCGCAAGGCUGAAACUUAAAGGAAUUGGCGGGGGAGCACUACAACGGGUGGAGCCUGCGGUUUAAUUGGAGUCAACGCCGGG
rnacentral:rRNA from 1 species